rnacentral:rRNA from 1 species
AUUGAACGCUGGCGGCAUGCCUUACACAUGCAAGUCGAACGGCAGCACGGGUGCUUGCACCUGGGGGCGAGUGGCGAACGGGUGAGUAAUACAUCGGACCGUACCUUAUCGUGGGGGAUAACGCAGCGAAAGCUGUGCUAAUACCGCAUAAGCCCUGAGGGGGAAAGCGGGGGAUCGAAAGACCUCGAGCGAUUAGAGCGGCCGAUGCCUGAUUAGCUUGUUGGUGGGGUAAAAGCCCACCAAGGCGACGAUCAGUAGCCGGUCUGAGAGGACGAUCAGCCACACUGGGACUGAGACACGGCCCAGACUCCUACGGGAGGCAGCAGUGGGGAAUUUUGGACAAUGGGGGCAACCCUGAUCCAGCAAUGCCGCGUGAGUGAAGAAGGCCUUCGGGUUGUAAAGCUCUUUUGUCAGGGAAGAAACACCGGCUCUAACACAGUCCGGGAAUGACGGUACCUGAAGAAUAAGCACCGGCUAACUACGUGCCAGCCGCCGCAGUAA